rnacentral:rRNA from 1 species
UACGGGGGGGGCAAGCGUUGUUCGGAAUUACUGGGCGUAAAGGGCUCGUAGGCGGCCAACUAAGUCAGAUGUGAAAUCCCCAGGCUUAACCUGGGAACUGCAUCUGAUACUGGAUGGCUUGAAUCCGGGAGAGGGAUGCAGAAUUCCAGGUGUAGCGGUGAAAUGCGUAGAUAUCUGGAGGAAUACCGGUGGCGAAGGCGGCAUCCUGGACCGGCAUUGACGCUGAGGAGCGAAAGCUAGGGGAGCGAACGGG